rnacentral:rRNA from 1 species
GACGAAUGCUGGCUGCGUGCUUAACACAUGCAAGUCGAACGGUGAAGCGGGGCUUGCCCUGCGGAUCAGUGGCGAACGGGUGAGUAACACGUGGGCAACCUACCCCUCACUCUGGGAUAACUCCGGGAAACCGGGGCUAAUACCGGAUACGACCUGGAGCGACAUCACUCCGGGUGGAAAGAACUUCGGUGAGGGAUGGGCCUGCGGCCUAUCAGCUAGUUGGUGGGGUAACGGCCCACCAAGGCGACGACGGGUAGCCGGCCUGAGAGGGCGACCGGCCACACUGGGACUGAGACACGGCCCAGACUCCUACGGGAGGCAGCAGUGGGGAAUAUUGCGCAAUGGGCGAAAGCCUGACGCAGCGACGCAGCGUGAGGGACGACGGCCUUCGGGUUGUAAACCUCUUUCAGCGGGGACGAAGCGCAAGUGACGGUACCCGCAGAAGAAGCACCGGCUAACUACGUGCCAGCCGCCGCAGUAAGAC